rnacentral:rRNA from 1 species
ACGCUAGCUACAGGCUUAACACAUGCAAGUCGAGGGGAAACGGCAUUAAGUGCUUGCACUUUUUGGACGUCGACCGGCGCACGGGUGAGUAACGCGUAUCCAACCUUCCCAUGACUAAGGGAUAACCUGCCGAAAGGCAGACUAAUACCUUAUGGUCUUCACUGACGGCAUCAGAUGUGAAGUAAAGAUUUGUCGGUCAUGGAUGGGGAUGCGUCUGAUUAGCUUGUUGGCGGGGUAACGGCCCACCAAGGCAACGAUCAGUAGGGGUUCUGAGAGGAAGGUCCCCCACAUUGGAACUGAGACACGGUCCAAACUCCUACGGGAGGCAGCAGUGAGGAAUAUUGGUCAAUGGGCGAGAGCCUGAACCAGCCAAGUAGCGUGCAGGAUGACGGCCCUAUGGGUUGUAAACUGCUUUUGUAUGGGGAUAAAGUCAGUCACGUGUGAUUGUUUGCAGGUACCAUACGAAUAAGGACCGGCUAAUUCCGUGCCAGCAGCCGCGGUAAUACGGAAGGUCCGGGCGUUAUCCGGAUUUAUUGGGUUUAAAGGGAGCGUAGGCUGGAGAUUAAGUGUGUUGUGAAAUGUAGACGCUCAACGUCUGACUUGCAGCGCAUACUGGUUUCCUUGAGUACGCACAACGUUGGCGGAAUUCGUCGUGUAGCGGUGAAAUGCUUAGAUAUGACGAAGAACUCCGAUUGCGAAGGCAGCUGACGGGAGCGCAACUGACGCUGAAGCUCGAAGGUGCGGGUAUCGAACAGGAUUAGAUACCCUGGUAGUCCGCACAGUAAACGAUGGAUGCCCGCUGUUGGUACCUGGUAUCAGCGGCUAAGCGAAAGCAUUAAGCAUCCCACCUGGGGAGUACGCCGGCAACGGUGAAACUCAAAGGAAUUGACGGGGGCCCGCACAAGCGGAGGAACAUGUG